rnacentral:sRNA from 1 species
CAGAACCCAAUCCGGGGAAGGUGAGAACCUUCGACAAGGUUCGCGUCGAGCAACGCGAGACAACGUUGCCGCAGGCAACGGCCCGUAGGGCGAGCCGCAACGCGGCGAGUCAUCCUUCCCCCACCACCA